GUGAAGUUGGCCCCCCACCCAACGCAAAACGUCGGCAAAAUAUGCUCAAUCGUUUGUGCUCCGUUUGUGCUGGUUUGUGCCGCAAAAAUUUUCGUUUGUGCUGCUUUGGUUUUUUAGAUAAUUAAAGAACAUUUAUAGGUCAUACUGAGGUCACGUAGCCCCCCAACAUGCUCCAAAUUUACCCAAAAUAGUCUUAAACGUUUGUGCUUCGUUUGUGCUGGUUUGUGCAGGUAAAAUUUUCGUUUGUGCUGCUUCGGUUUUUAUAAUAUUUGACAUUGAAAUAAGGUGAUGACGUCACUCAGCCCCCCCACAUGCUUCAAGUUCACCCAAAGUAUUCUUGUUUGAUUGUGCUACGUUUGUGCUGGUUUGUGCAGGUAAAAAUUUCGUUUGUGCAGUUUUCGUUUUUUAGAUAUUAUAAGAACAUUUAUAGGUCAUACAGAGGUCACUCAGCCCCCAACAUGCUCAAAAUUAACCCAAAAUAGUCUUAAUCGUUUGUGCUUCGUUUGUGCUGGUUUGUGCAGGUAAAAAUUUCGUUUGUGCAGUUUUCGUUUUUUAGAUAUUAAAACAUUUAUAGGUCAUACUGAGGUCACGUAGCCCCCAACAUGCUCCAAAUUUACCCAAAAUAGUCUCAAACGUUUGUGCUUCGUUUGUGCUGGUUUGUGCAGGUAAAAGUUUCGUUUGUGCUGCUUCGGUUUUUAAUAAUAUUUGAGAUUGAAUUAUGGUGAUGACGUCACUCAGACUCCCGCAUGCUUCAAGUUCACGCAAAACUAUUUUGUUCGUUUGUGCUUCGUUUGUGCUGGUUUGUGCAGGUAAAAGUUUCGUUUGUGCUGCUUCGGUUUUUAAUAAUAUUUGACAUUAAAUUAUGGCGAUGACGUCACUCAGACUCCUGCAUGCUUCAAGUUCACUCAAAACUAUAUUUGUUCGUUUGUGCUUCGUUUGUGCUGGUUUGUGCAGAUAAAAGUUUCGUUUGUGCUGCUUCGGUUUUUAUAAUAUUUGAGAUUGAAUUAUGGCGAUGACGUCACUCAGACUCCCACAUGCUUCAAGUUCACGCAAAACUAUAUUUGUUCGUUUGUGCUUCGUUUGUGCUGAUUUGUGCUGUAAAAAUGUACAGGUCUUAAUGAUCACUAACGCAGUUUCAACGUUUAAUGGACACAACGGGUCACAGGAUGUGUUGUUGAACAAGAAUUCUGAGGUAAGCGUUUUUAUGUGUUACAGAAUUGUUACGUAAAUAACAGUAGUAAUAUUAACAUACACACAACAUAAUCUGUUUGCCCUAGCUCUGUGUAUACAUAGGCUAUUUAUGUGUAAGGAGCUUAAAUGCAAAACCCAAAUGCAAAAAAAAGUUUGACUGACAUAUUUUCUUGCAAAUAUCAGACUUUUAACACACACACACACACACACACACACACACACACACACACACACACACACACACACACACACACACACACACACACACACACACACAUAUAUGGGGACUCAAUGAAUGAAUUAAGCCAAAAUGAUUUUACUUGUAAAAUAGAAUUACUGUGUAUUAGUGAACAUCAAAUAACAAUAAGAAUAAAACCUUUAAAAAUGUAAAAACUAUUAAUACUGACAAGCCACUGUCUGACUUCAAAACAAAAACACCACACAGAAUAAACUUGUGUGUAAACACCAGUAGGAAAACAAAGGUGUGUGUUACUUUACAGAAACUAAUUUAAAUAAAUUAAAUUACUCUUUUGUGUAUAAAACAGCAUGUGGACAUAUUUUGUUUUUUUCUGACACUCCUGUCAUUCCACUUCUCAGGUCAUCAUACAUCUCCCAGACACACGAAGACCUCCUGCAGUAGGCCACAUAAUGUCCAAUAGAAUUCUUGGUUAAGCCUCCUUUAAAAGCAACGACUGCCCUUAAAACAAAUCUCUCCCCUUGAAGCAUCAGGUUGGAAGAAAAUUCACACAAAGGAAAUUGGACUCUGGAUUUGCUUCCAAGAGUCUGUCUUGAAUGGAGAGGGGGACUGACUUUGGAUUGGCCUGAGGCAGGGGGACUUUGGAAGGUUAAGCCCUUCUUCCACUGCAGUUUGUAGAUGAGCCACGCCAGAAGCCUGCAGUACAGCAUCAGACGUACAAACAAAAGAAAUUUCUCUUGUGAGUGGUUUGCUGAGACUGCAAUGCUGUGAGGAGCACUGUUUAGUAAGGGAAACACAUUUUGUCAUUAACUUAUUAAUGAUUGUGGAGAUGUGGCAUUGUGCAUUGAUUUGGAGAACACCAGACUUCAACUGUACAGCUUCAAAUAUUUCACUUAGCAGCUGUGCCCUCUGUGUGUAGGCAUGUGCAUUCAGACCUUUUCUGGUGAUGGUUUUUACUAGCUGGAGGAGGUUGUUGGAGUCCUCACUGCAAACAGUGUUUCCAAAAGUGAGACUAUCGCAGAAAGCACAACAUAAGCAUUGACAAAAAGCAUCAAAUGCACAUGUGUUCAGCAAAGAGAUUUUUGAUUUCCCAAUUUUAACAGGCUGUUGAUUAUUUCCAUUUUUUAACAGUUCCACUUUUAGUUUUUUCCCUUUCACAGAUGAAUCUGCAUGGAGCCAUUCAGGACAGGGAGAGAGGUAUGAACUCAUCUUCCUCUUUUUGGGUGGAACUGCUAGGCCUCUCCAGUUUUCAACCGCAUCUUCAUCGGCUGGAUGGAUGUUUAUGACAGCAUCAGAGGUCUCAGAACAGGAAGCAUCCAUUUCUGGCUUUACAUCUACACUGCAAGUUGUGAACAAAUUCGCAUGUUGCCUUCAAUGAAGGACAGAUGUUGAGCAAUGAAUCUAUCCACCCUAAUUGGCAAGUUUUCAUGCUUGAAAAGGCCGCGCUUGAUGUUUUUGAAUUCUGCUUCAACAUUAGCUGAACUUGCGGUAAUGUUGGUGCUUCGGAAGUGAGGGACCAUUACUGCUGUCCAGAGUGGCAAGUAACUUGCAAGCCAGAUUAUAUUAGGAAUAAUCUCAGGGAGGAAGUGCAUAUUAUCGUGAUCACCAUUACCGCUGGCAAGCGACCUGCUCUCUUCACAUAUGUCUAUGACCCACUGCCGUAGGUCUGUCUGUGUUUGGUCACAUGGAUCCUCUUCUCCCAGGUCCUUGCCCUCUAGAUCUGGGAUGAUGACACACUCUUCUGCAAUCCGGGAUUUCAGCACCCCCACUGGCAGAUCGUCUUGAUGCAGUGUGCAACAUCAACCCGAACAAAACAAGGUGGCACUUUUGCUGACUGUUUACCAAGUAAGACACCACAACACUCAUUGAUGUAGCUCUUCAGAUCAGGAUAUGGAGUGAAAGCCUUGACCAGAGCUCCGAGCAAAGCUAGAGAAAAGUCACUCACAACCUCUUUUGGAGUUGGUGCACCUGCACGUAUCCACUCUUUCAACCAAUGUGUUAUUGCAUUAACAUCAUGUCUCUCUGACAGCAUUUGCACCACUGGGACACUAGAGCUCUCCUCUCCUGCCAGAACUCCCUGAUAUAAAAAGAUAUGGCCAGACAUGCCAGUUGGUCUUGUUAGUUUCCUCACUACUGAGCCAGUUGCAUCAAAACUGACAGUGGGGGUGGCCAAAUUAGGGAGAUGACUUGGCUCAGGAUCUCCAAAAUCCAUCAAUUUUGUUGCCUCUGUUGCCCUCCAGACAUGGGGUUCCAUUCUACCCUCACACAGUUCUUUGGCUAUCUGCACACGCAAAUUACCAGACAUUGCACGCUUUGAACCACCAGUGUGCAGGGAGUUAUCUGUGUUUUUAAUUAAACACUUAAACACCAUUGGGCUGUUUAUUUCAGGCUCUUUGUCGCAUUUCAUGUGAAUCAGGCCAUUGCACUCCUUACAGUUACCUCUGAUUUCAAUGUAUUUCUCUGUUGCUGACGGAUAGACCUUGGCUCUUUUAAAGGCAAAAGUGCAGGGGCUUUUCACCUCUUGCCAAAUGUAAUGAUUUAUCACAUGUGUCCAGUUGCCAGGCUUCAAAACUGUGUAUUCCCUUUUUUGUGUUUUACUGAACUUGUUUUUGUAUUCAACCGUUUCAGGGAUGAAUUCAAUCCAUUUCUGAAAUGGAACUUCAAGACCAAAAGCCCAGCAAUCUUUUGGUCUUUGGGAAAGGGACCCUGGCUCAAAAUCAGUGUCAUCACUACUGCCACUUGCUUCAUGAUCACUUUCAUAAGUAAACUCUAAAGCAGCCCAGAUGUUGUGUCUGUUUAAUUUAACAAACGUGUAUAGCGCCUUUGGGGUGAUCUUGUUUUCUAGCUGCUUACUAAGCUCUGUCCAGAUGCUCUGACUGGGAGUAGCUAUGUUGCCAUUUUGGACUAUGGCCUCUUUUGAUAAACACAGCACUGUGAAAAUGGACUCCUUGUCAACCACUGGUUUCUUGGGCAUCUGGCAUAAGCAAAACAUAAUUACUUAAUGUCAUAGAGUAAACUUGUUUUCAUAUUUUACUGUAUGGGUCUGAAUAUUUGUAUAAUUUAAUAUAGUUAUAACAUAAUGUAUCCUAUAUUAGGACAUAUGGUAGAUGCACAAUGUAUUUAAAUACCCAAAAUAGGUGACAUGAGUUUUCUGUUCAACACACAUUGACAAUCUUAGCUCUUUUGAAUGUUGUACCAUUAUCCUUGAACUUAGCUUAUAAUAUUGUUACUGACAGUGUUAAAACAUACUUACAUUGGCCAGAAAAUAUAUUUCCUCCACCAACUCUAGACUGGUUUAGAGCCUCUUACGCGCCUAGUGUUAGGAGUAGUGUUGCAAGUGAUAGGGUGGAGUGGGGAGAGCGCCCCCUUGAGGCAAAAGCAAAUGGCUGGCUGAAUUCAGAAUCGCAUUUGAAGAUGCAUUCCUUAUAUUAUUUGUACCAUGAAACCUCUUUGCUUUGUUACUUAUAUGUGAGGGAAGUAGCAUUAAUCCAAUCGCAAGUGAUCAUCAUGAGGCAAAUCAUGCACCUGAAUGUGUGUUAGAAACAAGUUUGUAUAGUGUUUAUAAUCUAUGCUAAUAGUAGGUGGAGGUAAAUGCACUAUUUUCAGGGCACAUUUUAGAGAAUAAAAAUGACUCGCUGUGACUUAGCAGUAGAGAUUUUAUUUUUUCUUUAACAACAAAAAUCACAAUUCUUUCCAAAAUUUUCUUUACAAUACCAAAAGGAAAAACAAAAAAGACUUGGUAGUUAUAUUUACGUUUCUGUGCACAAAUAUAUUAACAUAUGCAGUAUUGUAAUUUCAUAAUUUCUUCACAAAGUCAAAGAAUUAUCAUUAAUAAAUCAAUAAUUAUGGUCAAUGAUCAUCCAAACAACAAUAACAUUAACUGUUCUUCUUGGUUUUAUAUAUUAUGAGAAUGAAUUAUAUAUUUUAUCUUAAUCUUCACAAGCCAUUUUCAUAAUUUACAAUAAAUAAUAAUGACCGAAAAGGGUGUAGGCUGAAGAAUUUGCUUAUUACACCUACCCUAUAUACAUCAUUAAAUAAGCGACAUUUUCUCACAAUAUAUUAUAAUAUGAUUCUUAUAAAGAAAACACUUACAAAGUAAAGAAAACAUUUACAUGAAAAAGACAAUUUAAUUCAUAAUAACCAGGUACAUGUUUCGUAUUGUUAAUUUCAAUAAAAACAUUGGAGAA